AAGCUGCAAGUUAGUCAACAAUAAUCAACACCAAUAUUAAAGGAACAAAGUUACACGCAACCUAAAGAAAACAAUGGUCCUCAGUAAAAAAAUGCAUUUCUUGUCUUAUGAACAUUAAACCCCAUACAUUUAAGGGAUGAGUGGACAAAAAAUCUUUUGGUGAAAUGUGUAUCCCAUGCACUUUUUCAAAAUGAUUGUGUGGCACUGCACGAAAGUUGAACAAAUUAGGAAGAAAAAUAAGUCGCAAAAAAAGAAAUAAGUCCUAAAGUUGUGAACAUAUGCUUACAAUAAAUAAAGCUAAGACAUUAUGUAUUAAUAGGAAUUAAAAUAGAUGGGAUUCACAAAAUCAAACCCAAAUAGUUAGGAUAAGGCCAAUGACGACGGUUGUUGCAAAAUUGGUAAAAUUGAACUUGAAUGACCAAUAUAUAGGCAUCUCAAAUAACUAAAGGUAUAUGCUAUUACCAUAUAUGUGUAUUUAAUAUCAAAAAAUGUUAGCGCUGACUAUAAAGUAUAAGUUUAUAUUUAUGCGCCAAUGAAAGCUUGGGUUUAUGCAUGUGCAUCAAGAUAAUCAUUUGUCCUAGAUGUGUCAUUCAUAUGUUUGGCAAGAUUUUAGAGUAUGUAGUGGUGUCUUUGCCCCAUGUCAGCAUUAGUAUUUCAUACUAAUUCGUAAAUUGACCUGUUUCCCACAUUAGAUAAGCUGUUGUGCCAAAUUUUUUACUAUUGCAAAAAACAAAAUAAAGGUUGUUUUUUAUUUUAGAGAAGUUGCAAAUAGUAACUGUUCGAGUAGAUGAUAGUCAGCACAGAGAGCGAGUCAACAGAAAAAGAGAGAAUAGCAAAAAAAAAAA